rnacentral:lncRNA from 1 species
GUCAGGGCAUAGGGGCCAGGCCUGCCCUCUGGUGCUUUCGGCUCCUCGGGCCCCCGACUUUAAAGUGCUCAAGUUGGGGUCGGCGCCAUCAUGACGCCUGAGACUGUGAGAAGAAAAAGUUACAAGUGAUAGAAGAACUAACCCACUCAGGAGCCCAAAGAAAGGAACAGAACUUCUAGUGUGAGAUGCUGAGACUGCCUCACUGUGAAAGGACAGGACAGCAUGAGCCGGAAUCAACUGUAUCAUCGGAAUAUGUAUUUUAGCAACUGACUCUCUUAUGAAAGCAACAGUAAAUUAACAGUGUUCCAGGGUCAAACAACUCAAGAUUCUGUCAGUAAUUAGUUGUUGUGUUGUAUUCAUUAACUUGACUAUCCUGAAGAUUACCAUGACAGCUGGAUUCUGAGUGAGUUCUUCAGGUUGCUUGAGGAAAGACUAACAUCUGAGUCAGUGAGCAUUAUGUCUGACUCUUGGAUAUCAUCUGUAACCCUAUUCCAUUGACAGUGAAUAACACUGAAUUCAAUUAAAAUCUGACCCAAACAAUAAGGAGCCUAAAAGUUACUGGCUGUCUACAUGAAAAACAAAUUAGGAACUCAGUAGGAAAAGACACUUGCCUCCUAACCUGACCACCAGGGUUCUAUCCCCUAGACCAGCAUGGUUGAAGAGAAGACAAAUUCCCAUAAGGUCUCCUCUGGCUUCCACACUGUCCUCAGGGUCUGCAUCUGGCCACACAUACACACAUUACCUAAUUCAAUCUUUCAUUAAUAAAGUUCCAAUAAAAGAA